ensembl:snRNA U6 U6 spliceosomal RNA
GUGCUCAGUUUGGGCUGCACAUGUACUAAAACUGCAACAGUGGACAGGAUUAGCACGGCCCCUGAGCAAGGAUGACACGCAAAUCCACAAAUCGCUCCAUGUAAAU